rnacentral:rRNA from 1 species
UACGUAGGGGGCAAGCGUUGUCCGGAUUUAUUGGGCGUAAAGAGCGUGUAGGCGGCCAGGUAGGUCAGCUGUGAAAACUCGAGGCUUAACCUCGAGACGCCGGCUGAAACCCUCUGGCUAGAGUCCGGAAGAGGAGAGCGGAAUUCCUGGUGUAGCGGUGAAAUGCGCAGAUAUCAGGAAGAACACCCGUGGCGAAAGCGGCUCUCUGGGACGGUACUGACGCUGAGACGCGAAAGCGUGGGGAGCGAACAGG